rnacentral:rRNA from 1 species
CGUUACACACCGCCCGUCCACACCACUGGGAGGUUGGUCGUGCACCAGAAGCCGGUAGUCUAACCGCAAGGGGGACGCCGUCCACGGUGUGGUCAAUGACUGGGGUG